CUCAGGAUGAACGCUGGCGGCGUGCCUAAUACAUGCAAGUCGAGCGAAUGGAUUAAGAGCUUGCUCUUAUGAAGUUAGCGGCGGACGGGUGAGUAACACGUGGGUAACCUGCCCAUAAGACUGGGAUAACUCCGGGAAACCGGGGCUAAUACCGGAUAAUAUUUUGAACUGCAUGGUUCGAAAUUGAAAGGCGGCUUCGGCUGUCACUUAUGGAUGGACCCGCGUCGCAUUAGCUAGUUGGUGAGGUAACGGCUCACCAAGGCAACGAUGCGUAGCCGACCUGAGAGGGUGAUCGGCCACACUGGGACUGAGACACGGCCCAGACUCCUACGGGAGGCAGCAGUAGGGAAUCUUCCGCAAUGGACGAAAGUCUGACGGAGCAACGCCGCGUGAGUGAUGAAGGCUUUCGGGUCGUAAAACUCUGUUGUUAGGGAAGAACAAGUGCUAGUUGAAUAAGCUGGCACCUUGACGGUACCUAACCAGAAAGCCACGGCUAACUACGUGCCAGCAGCCGCGGUAAUACGUAGGUGGCAAGCGUUAUCCGGAAUUAUUGGGCGUAAAGCGCGCGCAGGUGGUUUCUUAAGUCUGAUGUGAAAGCCCACGGCUCAACCGUGGAGGGUCAUUGGAAACUGGGAGACUUGAGUGCAGAAGAGGAAAGUGGAAUUCCCAUGUGUAGCGGUGAAAUGCGUAGAGAUAUGGAGGAACACCAGUGGCGAAGGCGACUUUCUGGUCUGUAACUGACACUGAGGCGCGAAAGCGUGGGAGCAAACAGGAUUAGAUACCCUGGUAGUCCACGCCGUAAACGAUGAGUGCUAAGUGUUAGAG
rnacentral:rRNA from 1 species